rnacentral:sRNA from 1 species
GGAGGUUGCGGGAGCACAGCCUGCCCUAUGGUUUAUGACUAAUUUGCAGCCAUUUGAGUUCAAAUACUGCUGAGAAGAUCCAAACUGCAAAGAAACACCCUGGAGCACCCUGUUUAUUCCUCUAGCAUCUGAGCACAGCGGGGAGUCUCCUUUCUUCUGCUGGAGAUGAUGUCUAUAUUGGCCAUUACAGAGAGAGGCAUAGACAGGGAAGAAUGCAUUCCUAGCCUCAACACUGGCACCUGCCCUGUCAGCAUUAGUCUGUUAAAGAAGCCCCAUUCUUCACCAAAGCCAAGGCUCUAAAACUGAACUCAGAGUUUCAGCACAGCAGGAUGUGCAGGGUACAUCCUACAUGCUGGAUACAUCCUACCUGCUGUGGUAUACGCUGACAUCCACGUGGGGUAUAACUGGCAAGGGAUUCUUAUCCCCUGGCUUGUAAACUACAUCUGACCCUGAAGAGCUGUCCUUUGUCAGGUAUCUUAGCAUUAGUA